CCUAACACAUGCAAGUCGAACGAAGGCUUCGGCCUUAGUGGCGCACGGGUGCGUAACGCGUGGGAAUCUGCCCUUGGGUUCGGAAUAACAGUUAGAAAUGACUGCUAAUACCGGAUGAUGUCGCAAGACCAAAGAUUUAUCGCCCAAGGAUGAGCCCGCGUAGGAUUAGCUUGUUGGUGAGGUAAAAGCUCACCAAGGCGACGAUCCUUAGCUGGUCUGAGAGGAUGAUCAGCCACACUGGGACUGAGACACGGCCCAGACUCCUACGGGAGGCAGCAGUGGGGAAUAUUGGACAAUGGGCGAAAGCCUGAUCCAGCAAUGCCGCGUGAGUGAUGAAGGCCUUAGGGUUGUAAAGCUCUUUUACCCGGGAUGAUAAUGACAGUACCGGGAGAAUAAGCUCCGGCUAACUCCGUGCCAGCAGCCGCGGUAAUACGGAGGGAGCUAGCGUUAUUCGGAAUUACUGGGCGUAAAGCGCACGUAGGCGGCUUUGUAAGUUAGAGGUGAAAGCCCAGAGCUCAACUCUGGAAUUGCCUUUAAGACUGCAUCGCUUGAAUCCAGGAGAGGUGAGUGGAAUUCCGAGUGUAGAGGUGAAAUUCGUAGAUAUUCGG
rnacentral:rRNA from 1 species